GAUGAACGCUGGCGGCGUGCCUAACACAUGCAAGUCGAACGGAGUCCAGCCUUAGAGACCUUCGGGUCAAAGAGGGGAAGACUGAGUGGCGGACGGGUGAGUAACACGUGGGCAACCUGGCUCAUAGAGGGGGAUAACAGAGAGAAAUUUCUGCUAAUACCGCAUAAGCACACACUGCCGCAUGGCAGAGUGUGAAAAGAGAAUCGCUAUGAGAUGGACCCGCGUCUGAUUAGCCAGUUGGCAGGGUAAGAGCCUACCAAAGCGACGAUCAGUAGCCGAUUUGAGAGGAUGAACGGCCACAUUGGGACUGAGACACGGCCCAAACUCCUACGGGAGGCAGCAGUGGGGGAUAUUGCACAAUGGGGGGAACCCUGAUGCAGCGACGCCGCGUGAGUGAAGAAGUAUUUCGGUAUGUAAAGCUCUAUCAGCAGGGAAGAUAAUGACAGUACCUGAAUAAGAAACCCCGGCUAACUACGU
rnacentral:rRNA from 1 species